AGUGAACGCUGGCGGUAGGCCUAACACAUGCAAGUCGAACGGCAGCACAGUAAGAGCUUGCUCUUACGGGUGGCGAGUGGCGGACGGGUGAGGAAUACAUCGGAAUCUAUUUUUUCGUGGGGGAUAACGUAGGGAAACUUACGCCAAUACCGCAUACGACCUACGGGUGGAAGCAGGGGAUCUUCGGACCUUGCGCGAUUGAAUGAGCCGAUGUCGGAUUAGCUAGUUGGCGGGGUACAGGCCCACCAAGGCGACGAUCCGUAGCUGGUCUGAGAGGAUGAUCAGCCACACUGGAACUGAGACACGGUCCAGACUCCUACGGGAGGCAGCAGUGGGGAAUAUUGGACAAUGGGCGCAAGCCUGAUCCAGCCAUGCCGCGUGUGUGAAGAAGGCCUUCGGGUUGUAAAGCCCUUUUGUUGGGAAAGAAAAGCAGCAGGUUAAUACCCCGCUGUUCUGACGGUACCCAAAGAAUAAGCACCGGCUAACUUCGUG
rnacentral:rRNA from 1 species